GAUGAACGCUAGCGAUAGGCUUAACACAUGCAAGUCGAGGGGCAGCAUGGUCUUAGCUUGCUAAGACUGAUGGCGACCGGCGCACGGGUGCGUAACGCGUAUGCAACUUGCCUCACAGAGGGGGAUAACCCGUCGAAAGACGGACUAAUACCGCGUCCUCCCUUUGGGCAUCCAAAGUAGAGAAAUGAAUUCGCUGUAGAUAGGCAUGCGUCCCAUUAGCUAGUUGGUGAGGUAACGGCUCACCAAGGCGACGAUGGUAGGGGACUGAGAGGUUGCCCCCACACUGGUACUGAGACACGGCCAGACUCCUACGGGAGGCAGCAGUGAGGAAUAUUGGUCAAUGGGCGAGAGCCUGAACCAGCCAAGUGCGUGAAGGAUGACUGUCUUAUGGAUUGUAAACUUCUUUUAUACGGGAAUAACAGAGUCACGUGUGACUCCCUGCAUGUACCGUAUGAAUAAGAAGGGCUA
rnacentral:rRNA from 1 species